rnacentral:rRNA from 1 species
UACAGAGGGGGCAAGCGUUGUUCGGAAUUACUGGGCGUAAAGGGCGCGUAGGCGGCCUGCUAAGUCGGACGUGAAAGCCCCGGGCUCAACCCGGGAACUGCGUCCGAUACUGGUUGGCUUGAAUCCGGGAGAGGGAUGCGGAAUUCCAGGUGUAGCGGUGAAAUGCGUAGAUAUCUGGAGGAACACCGGUGGCGAAGGCGGCAUCCUGGACCGGCAUCGACGCUGAGGCGCGAAAGCCAGGGGAGCAAACGGG